rnacentral:lncRNA from 1 species
UUUUUUUUUUUAAAAAAGCAUUUUUACCAUUUUCCACAAACCACAAGAGAGAGUUGGGAUAACCAGGCUGGGAAGGGAUUUAUCUGAGUUGUCUAGAUUAAUUUGAGUUACACAAGGGGGGAAAAGCUGGGUGAUCACAACCCAGGACAUGGGGGAGGGACUCAUCCCACCCCAUAUUGGACAGGAAUCCCCAGUCCCCACAGUGCCACCUCACCUGGAGCUGUUUCCAUUCCAGGUGAUUACUAUUAUUCCACAGAAGAUUAUUACUACGACAACGCCACAGCAACCCCUGCCACGUACGUGUACGAGUUUGAUUCAUAUGAGACAAACACCACUGGAGACAUAGAUUAUGACAAGUUUUUUCCAGAAUGGAAUGACACCAUUGAGCUUUCAGGAUUACCUGACAUAAAUGUUCCAGGGGAUGCCAAGGACGCUCCAGGGGACGCCAAGGACACUCAGGAUUUUCAGGAGUCAUUGGGAUCGUCCCUGCAGGGCCACCUCACCCUCAUCAUCCUCCUCAGCUUCCUGGGUCUCCUGCUAUGACCCCCAGACUCCUCCUCCCAAGACCUUGUGGCUGGGAUGGUGACCAGGACACCGCCAGGUGUUGAUGAUGAAAUCCUCUCCACGAGGUGUUGUCUCUGUUCUGGAACUGCUGAGAUUUUGUGGCUGAAGGUUUUGGUGAGAGCAGCUCAGCAACCCUUCAGGCCUUUCCUGUUUCCUCGGAUUCUGCUGUAAAUAAGAACCUCUGCCAAUAAAACCCCCAACACCCGGUGCA